AACCGCACGGGAUAAUCAUUUUCCCGUGCAGUUGGGUUAAGAAAACCGCAUGGGAUAAUCGAUUAUCACCUGUGGUC
rnacentral:pre_miRNA from 14 species